UUUAAUCUGGAAAUGAGAAACAGACCGUGGUUUAUCGGAAACAUUUGUUUGCUAGCAUAGAAAAAGAUGAGUUGUUUGUACAUUUUGUUUGCGGCGUUAGAGUUUUUACUUAUUCUACAUCCGACCUUAGGUGAUGUUCACUUUUCAACCCUUUUUCCUCCAAUACAUGAGUGCUGUGCAUCCGUACAACCUGAACACAAUGUAAAUGUUCAGCCUGUAGAAUGGAUAUUUAUGGGAUUUGCUGCAUUUAUAUUUGGAGUAAUUAUCUGUGUGCGCUGUGCGAAAUGUUGUUUUGAAGACGAAACAAAGUCUACUGUACAACUAGUGAGUCAGCAACACAUUCCUCAGAAUGAAUGUAACUCACGGCAGUCUGUAUCAUUACGGGCCUCAUCUCCAAUUCCUACCAAUACAACAAGGCUUACAUCACAUCCCUAUACAGCUACUGCACAACUAGUGAGUCAGCGACACAUUCAUCAGAAUGGACAUAACUUACAGCAGCCUGUAUCAUCACGAGCCACAUCUCCAAUUCCUACCAAUCCAGAAAGGCCUAGAGCACGUCCCUGUCCAGCUGAUAUGCAACUAAUGAGUCAGCAGCCCAUUCAACUGAAUGUUCAUGGUCUGUGGCAGUCUGAGUCCACACUAACGCCAGUUCCAGUUGUUAGCUGUCCAGAAAGACCUACAGCACCUCACUGUUCAGAUGCAGAUUCACCUCCUCCUUAUGAAGUAGUCGCACCACCGCCAUAUGAAGUGGCAGCUGCUAAUGGAAGUUACGUCUUGCAGGUUACAUAUAACUCUGAUUAAAAACAAUAAAUAAACAACUUCUUUUGAAUGUGUGCAGCACAGGAUUUGCUCUUUUGUAUGUCACACCUGCGAUCACUACUGCUCCGCCAUCAUCCUGACAGGUCUGCCUGCCAGUGUUCAGCUGCAGCACUGAUGGGCCAAGGGUCAAACUGAGGCCUUCCUACCCUCUGAGCUGUCGAGUCUCCACCAGUGCCAGCUGCCGCCAGUCACACACUAGACUGGAGUUCCUACCCCAAAUGUCUAUACCUCUGUCAUCUUCCAUAGUUGGGCUUGUCCUGGCAACCUUGCUGACAACCCAACAGUCCAAAUGCCAUUUCAGCAUGUCAUAGCACUAUUGGGAAUGUCUGGUAUUCAAGGUUGUUCCGAACUUGUGUCGUGCUGAGUGUGGCAGUUACUGACAAUUUUGUGACAUUACUUUGAUGCUGAGGUCCUUGAGAUUGAUACUUGACCAAGCCCAUGAACAUGGAUGCCAAAGAUCCACACCAUGCUAUGCCACAUGAAGAGGGAAUGCACUUUUAGCUGUUCUAAGAUUUUUGGAAUAAUAAAGAGUUUUCACGAAUAGUGUCUGCAGCCACCUUCACCUCUGACAGACUCCUGUAGCACUUGCCAAACCAUUGAUCCCACAACACUCAAGGGGGAGCAG